UGACGCGGAUUCUCGUGGAUCUCAGCGCUGGCUACGCCGCGCGCGCACUCCGCGAGUGUGAGUGUGAAUGUGUGUGUGUGUGUGUGUGUGUGUGUGUGUGUGUGUGUGUGUGACCGACUGAGAUCGAAGGUCUGAGAUCUUCCACAAGAAAAUGACGUUGGAACUGAGAGUUGCUAAGCAGAACUGAGUGAAGCAAAGAGGGUUUCUUGGACAGGAAAGCAUGUGCAAAGGUCCUGGGUCAAGAGACCAUGCAUGUCCUACGAGGGUCACACACACAGAAAUAAUCCGUGUCCAUGGAGCACAGAGAAUGCGAGGGGAAGCCAUUGAAGUCGGAGAGGGCUCCAAGCGCCGACAGCUCUUGGCCACACUACGGGCCCUCGAGGCAGCAUCUCUUUCCCAACAGCUCCCCAGCCUACCUGGCAGUGACUCUGAGGAGGAGGAAGUGGUGGAAAGGAAAAAGAAACGCCCCAAAAAGGCCUCAUUGGCCAGUGUUUCUACUGCAGUAGAGGAGAAAAGGAAGAAGCAGCAUCAAAAACAAGGCCUACCUGGCAGUGACUCUGAGGAAAAGGAAGUAAAGAAGAAGAAGUGCCGCAAAAGGGCUCUUGAAAGUGAUUCUGCUGCAGAAGAAAAAAGAAAGGGGAAAUGCCAGAAACAGGCGCCUUCAAACCCUGCCCAGCACCUGGACAGUGUUGACCCAACAGGUCCCAAAGCUUGGAAGAGUAGUGCUACAGGUGACCCAUCCAAGCCAAGCUCUGUGGCCACUUCCCCCCAAACUCCCCAUGCCUUGAGUCGCAAGCAGUGGCGGAACCGGCAGAAGAACAAGCGUAGACACAAGAACAAGUUUCGGCCACCUCAGCCGCCAGACCCAGCCAAAGUCGCAGCCCCCACAGAGGAGACAGAGGUGCCUCCUGCCCCCACUCAAGAUGACCAUGAGGCUCGGGCAGGAGCUCUGCGGGCCCGCAUGGCACAGCGGCUGGAUGGUGCUCGAUUUCGCUACCUCAAUGAACAGCUGUACUCAGGGCCCAGCAGUGCUGCACAACGCCUCUUCCAGGAAGACCCCGAGGCCUUCCUCCUCUACCACCGCGGCUUCCAGAGCCAAGUCAAGAAGUGGCCGCUACAGCCAGUGGACCGCAUCGCCAGGGAUCUUCGCCAGCGGCCUGCGUCCCUGGUGGUAGCUGACUUUGGCUGCGGGGACUGCCGCCUGGCUUCAAGUAUCCGGAACCCGGUGCACUGCUUUGACUUGGCCUCUCUGGACCCCAGGGUCACUGUAUGUGACAUGGCCCAGGUGCCUCUGAAGGAUGAGUGUGUAGAUGUGGCUGUGUUCUGCCUUUCGCUGAUGGGAACCAACAUCAGGGACUUCCUAGAGGAGGCAAAUCGAGUGCUGAAGCCCGGGGGUCUCCUGAAAGUGGCUGAAGUUAGCAGCCGCUUUGAAGAUGUUCGGGCCUUUUUGGGAGCCGUGACCAAACUGGGCUUCAAGAUCAUCUCCAAGGACCUGACCAACAGCCACUUCUUCUUGUUUGAUUUUGAAAAGACUGGGCCCCCUCGAGUGGGGCCCAAGGCUCAACUCUCAGGCCUGAAGCUUCAGCCAUGUCUCUAUAAGCGCAGGUGACCUCUGAACCCCUCUUUGAAGGGGAAGGCAAGUCUUGAACUCCGUUGUCAGAACUCCGAAGACUAUAACCAGCCAGGCUGUGACCCAGGACCGGUACCACCCUUCCUCUAUCCCAUGAACGAAGUGUGAUGAAACCCCUGGUUCAGCCCCGCUCUGCUAAAGGAUUCUUGGUUGCAAGAAGCAUAAAAUCACUCAGGCUGGCUAAAGAAUAAGGAGUUUAUGAUCUUCACAUCAACAUCACCUUCUGUGGAAGAAACUGGCUAGGUGCUCACCAGAAUGUCCUUUCCCUGGACAGUUAAACGCCAUUUCCCUGCGCCUCGCAUCAAGGUGGGGCAGUGUGAGUGGGCCUCGUCAAUGGAAGGGAAGUAGAGAUGUUUCACUACCAGACCAAGGCAGUUAAAGAGCAGAUGAGCCCUCUCUGUAUUGUACCACCCCCUCCUCCACCUUCCAGGGUGACCUUGUAGCACAUGUUUGAAGGUGAUUGAGUAACAGCAUAGAAGAGGUUGGGAUACCUGAGUCACUCUUUGGGAGGAAAGCUGCUUGCCUAAGAACAUCCACAUUGAACUUUGAACAGAGUAAACCUCUACUGCAAUAAAUUAAUGAAUUUUGGGAGAUUUAGGGCAGUUAGCACUGGCUAAUAGAUCUUCUCUGGUCAUCCUAUCCACCUUUCUCUUAAUCACAGAACACUUUUGUUUCCUUUGGGUGCUUCAAACAUGUAAUUACCUUAGCAAAUACUGGUCAGUACUUUCCACCUGUGCCAUUAAUUUUAAUCUUAAUUGGGGGGGAGGGGCUGGGAGUGUUCACAUCAGGAAGUUGAGAUGCUUAUUUUACCAGUUACAUUUUGAUUGUGACAAGAAAGAAAAAAAAGCCACUAAAGAAUGUCUUACACUAGAAUUUCCUUCCUAUAUCAGUAGGAACCUGAAGGUUAGUGUCUGUGGGCAAUUGGUUCUGGAACUUCAGGAUGUUAGCGAUUAGGUCUCUGUCGUUCUCUAGGCCUUUUGCUUCUCAUAUUCACAAGAUGGUAUGUUUUUGAUUAAGUGGGGACACCCAGCUUACUAUUUACUAAUACACCUCUUGGGAAUCUCACUGAUUGCCUCAGUCUUUUUGGCCUUCAAGGCUCCUUCUACAUCAGUCGCGACCCUUUAAUACAGUUCCUCAUGUUGUGGUGACCCCCCCCAAUUCCAUUGUUACAAAUUGAACAUAAUUAAAGCAUAGUGAUUAAUCACAAAAACAAUAUGUAAUUAUAUAUGUGUUUUCUGAUGGUCUUAGGCGACCCCUGUGAAAAGGUCCUUCGACCCCAAAGGGGUCGCAACCCACAGGUUGAGAAUCGCUGUUCUACAUUGUUAAUACUCUGGUGUAAGUAUGUUCCAUUAUUCCCUAUAACAGGGGUCCUCAAACUAUGGCCUGCGGGCCACAUGCAAAUACAAAUAUUGUAUUUGUUCCUGUUUUGUUUCUUUACUUCAAAAUAAGAUAUGUGCAGUGUGCAUACGAAUUUGUUCAUAGUUUUUUUUUAAACUAUAGUCCGGUCCUCCAACAGUCUGAGGGACAGUGAACUGGCCCCCUGUUUAAAAAGUUUGAGGACCCCUGCCCUAUAACAUGGCUGAGACAAAGGUCAAGUUCCAUUCCCUGUCAGGGCACAUGCCUGGGUUUCGGGCUCAAUCCCCAGUAGGGGGCAUGCAGGAGGCAGCUGAUCAAUGAUUAUUUCUCAUCAUUGAUGUUUCUAUCUCUCUCCCUCUCCCUUUUUCUCUGAAAUUAAAAAAGAAAAGAAAAAAACAGGAGAUCUAUGGUUAGGCAACAAGAUUUAAACUUGACAUCAGAAGCAUGAUCUAUAUAAUAAAAGCCUAAUAUGUCCCCUCAACCGGGUGUUCAACAAGGGGAGCGGGGCCAGCCAACCACCCACAGCCCCUCCCCUCAGCUGACCCCACCCCUGAUUGAGAUGGGGGGGAGGUGAUUGGGAGCAGGGCCAGCUGGCCAACCUCCUUCUUCCCAUCCCCCUGGCCAGUCCUGCUCGAUAGACCCUGAUCAGGGCAGGCCGGCCAGACCCUACCUGUACACAAAUUCAUGCACCAGGCCUCUAGUGAUCUAUAAAAGAAAACGAAUAAAUUGGACUGCAUCAAAAUGAAAAACCUUUGCUCUAUAAAAGACCCUGUUAAGAGGAAGCUGCAGAAAUAAAUUAGUUUCAGGUGAGCCACAGUGUGCUAAUCAAUGACAUUUUUGGUCUUUGAAUUAUUAGUGCAUAUAGUGUACAGAGUCGGGCACAAAUUUCCUCAUCAGUUUAGAUAUGCAAAUAAAAUUCAGCUCCUUUCUCAAUUA